GAUGAACGCUGGCGGCGUGCCUAAUACAUGCAAGUCGAGCGAACGGACGAGAAGCUUGCUUUUCUGAUGUUAGCGGCGGACGGGUGAGUAACACGUGGAUAACCUACCUAUAAGACUGGGAUAACUUCGGGAAACCGGAGCUAAUACCGGAUAAUAUUUUGAACCGCAUGGUUCAAAAGUGAAAGACGGUCUUGCUGUCACUUAUAGAUGGAUCCGCGCUGCAUUAGCUAGUUGGUAAGGUAACGGCUUACCAAGGCAACGAUGCAUAGCCGACCUGAGAGGGUGAUCGGCCACAGUGGAACUGAGACACGGUACAAACUCCUACGGGAGGCAGCAGUAGGGAGUCUUCCGCAAUGGGCGAAAGCCUGACGGAGCAACGCCGCGUGAGUGAUGAAGGUCUUCGGAUCGUAAAACUCUGUUAUUAGGGAAGAACAUAUGUGUAAGUAACUGUGCACAUCUUGACGGUACCUAAUCAGAAAGCCACGGCUAACUACGU
rnacentral:rRNA from 1 species